AGAGUUUGAACAUUUAUUGAUACUUAUUUACAUCUUUUUUGAAAGUAUCUAGAAGCGUUAGUGAAUAUUAGGUAAAUGCCUCAUGUCCAUUGAUACUGAUGUAUGGUUUAUUAAACACAUAACUAUCUGGAAGCGUCAGUACCGCAUGACUUACAUUCGGAGAUUAAAAAAAACAAACGAAAUUAAAGUCAACAAUAACUUACUUGAAGAGCCACUUAGUUCUCAGCGUCAGAGUCAUCACUUGACUCAAAGCGGCCAUGUUCCUCCCAAUCUGGAAUGAGUUUGUCAUUGUAGCAAUCCUAGCACCACUCUAAGUUUGGGGGUUUACACUUGCAAACAAUGGGAGAUGGGGGCUUUGAGGGAGAAGGGGUUGGGGACCGAUAGUAUUGAACAUUGUUUGGACCUACUGCAAAUAGAUCCCUGCACGUCCCACAAGGACGGUCGUGAACGGCACCAUGCUUGCAAUAAUUAGGUGUAACUCGAAGUUUCAGAUCCAUCUUUGGUUGAAGGUGUAUGUCCCGGAUGUCCUCUGGGGCUUUGGGGUUUGAAGGAGAAUGAGUUUG
rnacentral:lncRNA from 1 species